GACGAACGAGGGUGGAGGGAGGAACACAGGCAAGUCGAACGGAAAGGCCCUGCUUUUGUGGGGUGCUCGAGUGGCGAACGGGUGAGUAACACGUGAGUAACCUGCCCUUGACUUUGGGAUAACUUCAGGAAACUGGGGCUAAUACCGGAUAGGAGCUCCUGCUGCAUGGUGGGGGUUGGAAAGUUUCGGCGGUUGGGGAUGGACUCGCGGCUUAUCAGCUUGUUGGUGGGGUAGUGGCUUACCAAGGCUUUGACGGGUAGCCGGCCUGAGAGGGUGACCGGCCACAUUGGGACUGAGAUACGGCCCAGACUCCUACGGGAGGCAGCAGUGGGGAAUAUUGCACAAUGGGCGGAAGCCUGAUGCAGCAACGCCGCGUGCGGGAUGACGGCCUUCGGGUUGUAAACCGCUUUCGCCUGUGACGAAGCGUGAGUGACGGUAAUGGGUAAAGAAGCACCGGCUAACUACGUG
rnacentral:rRNA from 1 species